rnacentral:snoRNA from 1 species
CGCAAGCUCCUUAGAUCCAUUUCUACCAUUACGAAAGAAAUGCUUGAGUCAUAAGCUUGCCAGAGCAUUCCCCCGGGAGCGAAACCCUGUGUUCGGGCGAU